UGAUCAUCUGUGUCCUGUAAGCUCCAAACUUCUACUGGCUUUCCAUAAAAAUAUCUGUCCUCCCAAAAUACUGGCAUCAAAUUCACAUGUCAAUGGCAAACUAAGCUGUUCCAUGAAUUAUAAAUGGUACCUUUUCACCACUACUUUCAAAAUUGCUAUGAAACAUUCAUUGAUUUAAUGAUUUAUUUUUUCAGUGUAAUAUUUAAUCCCCCAUGGACUGCACAGUGACAAAACACAGCAGCCGGCUGUUUGGAUACAACAUACAUCUCCACUCAGUUUGAUUAUUAUUUUAAAUAUAAAGGAGACACAAUAUAGAGCUUAAAUUCCUUCAUAAUUUGAACUUCAAUUGUCUAAUUGUUGUUAUUAAACUUUCUCAGUAUUCCAUUAAAACAGUCAACACUUUUAUCCAAAGCGACUUACAAUAAGUGCAUUCAACUAUAAGGUUACGAACACAGAACAGCAUGAGUGAAUCAUGUGUGUAAAUUUACUAAACACCACAAAAAAUAAACCUGGCCUCAGUCAAAUACUUAUCCCAUGAAGUAACCGCUGCUCACGUCACCCGCUCGCGUCAUCAGCUGAUGGACUCGUCCAAUCAGAGCCUCGUAAACGCCGUGCAGCAGCGUCGAGUGUCCCGCAGACAGGAAGCGGGUCGUGUUUAGCUUGUCCCGUACGAGUGACUCUGUCUUCGGGGUAAAUAACUUGCUGAAGUCGACACGACGCUGUUCCCUGGAGGAGAAGAUGAGUGCGUGUGGAGGCAGAGCCGCGGGCCCGGUGUGGACGAGUCGAGGCGGAGAAGACGGAAGCACAGUCCCUGAGUUACGCCUCAGCCCCCCCCCCACACACACACACAAACAAAGAGGCGUUAGGCUGAGACGCUGAAAGUCCGGAUUUAAAGUGCAGAAAAUUAAGCCAUUGAAUCUGCCUGUCCAUGACGUACAAAGACACACUAUGAGCCAGUAUGAUCCGACCAGACCUUACAUCAGCAUUGAGGAGUUGUCGGAGAAGAAAGAGGCUGAUUGAAGCGGGACAGAUGACAUGGAUCCAUCCUUCCACAACCAGGAGCGCACCGACCUGUGUCCCACACUUCAUAUAAGACUGGAAGCUACACUGGAUCUCACAGCUACACACCACAGACGUCUACACACUGGAGAAGAGUCCCACAAAGAAGUCAUGACCCAGAGGCUGCAGAGAAACAUUUCAAGCCUCACCUGAGAUUUUGUACAAUAUUUUUGCUGUAUGUAAAUAAAGCUUUCACUCCACAUA